CGGACGGACGGACAGACAGACGGACACCGGACAUUUGUAUACCAUAAUACGUCCCGUCAAAAUUUUGACGGGCGUAUAAAAAUGGCCUCGCCGUACCUUGACCUAUAAUGGUUUACUUUUAUAAAUUGUUACUUGGAUGGAGAGUUGUCUCAUUUGAACUCAUACCACAUCUUCCUAUAUCUAUCAAUGAUAAAUUCAAAAUUUACAUUUAUAGUUUUGUAGUUUAAAUGUUGAAACAAUAUAGCAAAGAUACUCGCAGAUUCAAAACGAACCUAUGCAGCGCCGUCGACGUUGAGGACAGUUUGUGGGGGAGGGGCUAUACAAGGCACGACUUUUAAUAGUUUAUGACACACAAUCCUUGGAUUCUUAAUAUCUCUGUACUAACCACUUUUAAUAUACACUUUAAACAUUGCUACCCUUGUCACUUUCUUUUCAUGAGCAUGAUAAGCGUUAAUAAGAAAAUGCAUUGUCAUACAUAUAAUGCCUAUUAUUUUUAAAGAAAUC
rnacentral:lncRNA from 1 species